GAAAAUUUAUAUAUUAAACUAGGAUUAGAUACCCUAUUAGUGCMAUGUAUUUAUUAAAAUGCCUAGGUAGUAUUAGUUAUGGUCUUGAAACUUAAAAAAUUUGGCGGUAUUUUAGUUCAUUCAGAGGAACCUGUCAUGUAAUCGAUAGUCCACGUUGAACCUUACUUACUUUUGUUUUUCAGUUUGUAUACCGCCGUUAUUGAAUAUUUUAUAAGAACAAUAAUUUUCACUUUUUUUGAUGUAGAAAUUUAUAUCAGGUCAAGGUGCAGUUUAUGGGUAAGUAUAGAUGGGUUACAAUAAAAUUUUUUUUGAUGUUUAACUUAAUUUAAAUGUUAUNNNNNNNNNNNGUUAGUAAGU
rnacentral:rRNA from 1 species